CCUACGGGUGGCAGCAGUGAGGAAUAUUGGUCAAUGGACGAGAGUCUGAACCAGCCAAGUAGCGUGAAGGAUGACUGCCCUAUGGGUUGUAAACUUCUUUUAUAUGGGAAUAAAAUGUUCCACGUGUGGGAUUUUGUAUGUACCAUAUGAAUAAGGAUCGGCUAACUCCGUGCCAGCAGCCGCGGUAAUACGGAGGAUCCGAGCGUUAUCCGGUUUUAUUGGGUUUAAAGGGAGCGUAGGUGGAUUGUUAAGUCAGUUGUGAAAGUUUGCGGCUCAACCGUAAAAUUGCAGUUGAAACUGGCAGUCUUGAGUACAGUAGAGGUGGGCGGAAUUCGUGGUGUAGCGGUGAAAUGCUUAGAUAUCACGAAGAACUCCGAUUGCGAAGGCAGUUCACUGGACUGCAACUGACACUGAGGUUCGAAAGUGUGGGUAUCAAACAGGAUUAGAUACCCUUGUAGUC
rnacentral:rRNA from 1 species